AUGCUUUCGAUUUUAUUUUAUUCAUUUAAAAACCUCUUGAAGUCUUUUGGGUCUGGGAGUGAUAAUUAACAACAAUUAUAAAAUUCAUUAAUUGAACUCAUGGUUUAUAAAUAAACCUAGGGUUAUUCUUUUCCUAAAUUUUUAAAAUGGUAUCAGAAUCAGACUGUCGGUGUACGACUGACUGUACGAUGGAGCACAAAACCAGAGGUAUGAGAUCAAAAUUAUAUAAACAGCAAAAUCAGCUAGACUUUGUAAAUGCAUUUUAAAAUUCAAAUAAAUCAUACAUGUCUCUUACCAUGUCCGGAUGUAGCGUUUUGAAUUGUCAAAGUGGUUUUCUGAUACGAGACUUGGGUUACAACUGAUCCAUCCUAACCGAUAACGGUGAACCAAGUGGUUUCUCACCUCUACAUGCUGCUUCCUGGUAAUGAAGUUGCAAAGGAGUCAUCAAAUUGAGCUAUGAUCCUGCAAAAUAUGAGUAGAUGAUUCAGUAAACACUAAGAAAUGACCCGUGAAUCUCUAAUUAUUUUCUUAUUUCCGGAAUCUCUGUAAAAUGUAUCUAAAUGGUUUAUGACAUACAUCAUAAAAAAACACUUUGAUUGGACCAAACACCUUCAUAUAAAUAUUCAUACAUGGUAAUAAAAAAGGUAAAACAAUUUGACUGACCAGACAAAUGUAUAUAAUUAACCAGCCAAAUUAAAAGUAUG
rnacentral:lncRNA from 1 species